rnacentral:piRNA from 1 species
CCCUCUGACACCGAACCACUUCCUGCUGG